rnacentral:rRNA from 1 species
CCUACGGGUGGCAGCAGUGGGGGAUAUUGCACAAUGGGGGAAACCCUGAUGCAGCAACGCCGCGUGUGGGAAGAAGGUUGUCGGAUUGUAAACCACUGUUCUUGGUGAAGAGAAUGACGGUAACCAAGGAGAAAGCUCCGGCUAACGACGUGCCAGCAGCCGCGGUAAUACGUAGGGAGCAAGCGUUGUCCGGAUUUACUGGGUGUAAAGGGUGCGUAGGCGGUCUUGCAAGUCAGACGUGAAAACCACAGGCUCAACCUGUGGACUGCGUUUGAAACGGUGGGGCUUGAGUGAAGUAGAGUUCGGCGGACUUCCCUGUGUAGCGGUGCCAUGCGU